rnacentral:rRNA from 1 species
AGCCGCCGCGGUAAUUCGUAGGUGACAAGCGUUGUCCGGAUUUAUUGGGCGUAAAGGGAGCGCAGGCGGUCUGUUUAGUCUAAUGUGAAAGCCCACGGCUUAACCGUGGAACGGCAUUGGAAACUGACAGACUUGAAUGUAGAAGAGGAAAAUGGAAUUCCAAGUGUAGCGGUGGAAUGCGUAGAUAUUUGGAGGAACACCAGUGGCGAAGGCGAUUUUCUGGUCUAACAUUGACGCUGAGGCUCGAAAGCGUGGGGAGCGAACAGGAUUAGAUACCCUGGUAGUCCACGCCGUAAACGAUGAGUGCUAAGUGUUGGGGGCUUUCCGGCCCUCGGUGCUGGAGCUAACGUAUUAAGCACUCCGCCUGGGGAUUACGACCGCAAGGUUGAAACUCAAAGGAAUUGACGG